rnacentral:lncRNA from 10 species
GUCUCAAAAAUAAAAAAAAAAUUAAAAGCUGACUUGCAUUUAAACUUUAGAUUUUCUUUCUAGUAACAUUAAUAAGCUAAUUAGUUCACUUUCUCAAGAUUUUACUUCAAAUCACCUUCCUUUUUUUUUGUUUUUUGUUUUCUUUUUGUGGAGAUGAGGUCUCACUGUGUUGCCCAGGCUGGUCUCAGGCUCCAGCAAUUCUCCUGUCUUGGCCUUCCAAAGUGCUGGGAUGUAAGCCACCACACCUGUCCCCAUCUUCUUUAAGAGUAGACUACAGGAACACCUUCUAAAGCUUUUAUGUAGGCAAAUAUGAAGCAGUGGAUUUAUUUUUUUAUUUUAUUUUAUUUUUAGAUGUAAUCUCACUCUGUAAAGGAGUAAAUCACUCCAGGAGUAUCUCAUUUCAGCUGGGUCUAAAGGAUUAGCAAAGCAUUAACAAGUGACACGAAGACAUGUAAGGUGAAGAGCCAUGAUCAAAGGCAUAAAAGUCUACAAGAGUAUUUGGGGGACAGCGAGUCAUCUUACACCAUUGGAUGAGGGUGUAGAGUAGUGAUGCUAAACCUUUAAAGACAUUUGGAAAGCUUUCAUUGUCUGCCAACAUCAACUGCCAAGCCUAACCACUUCUAACAUUUAAAUUUUUUUUUUCCCCAAGA